UUUAGAAGAGUUGCAUCCUUCUCAAAGGACUAUUUCCUAGGGUAACGAUUUAGACAAUCCAGAUAAAAAUAUCUGGAGUCUAAAAAAGAAUCUGAUCGUCUCAGAGGAUGCUCCUAGGAAACAAGUACAGAUAGAGAAAGGAGAGUACUGGUGGUUCUUUGGGGGAAGACAGAAGUAGUGGUGGUGGUGGUGCAUUUACUUUCAUCAAAGGCUUGGUACUAGGCUCUCUGUAUACACUAAUUUGGUUUAUAUUUCCAGCCCUAAAGCAGAGAGCUCCCAGUCUGACCUUUUACACUUUCCCUAGUGAAUCAAUCUGCCUUGUCUAAAAGACGACAUUACUGCCAUCCAAAUAACCAUAUGAAAAUAAGAAUACAUGUCCUUUGCUAAUCACUGUUUUCCCAAGGCCCUAGGCCUGUUAUGUUGUCAUGGCUGAUACUUUUUUUUUUUUUCUCUUGCUUCAUCCUCUCAGCUUUGCCAAUUCCUCUUCUCUACUGGUAAUAGUUGAAUUGCUCAGUUCCCUGCACCUUCACAUCUCUAACAUUCACAGCCUGGACCACCGGAGCCUUCUACAUGACCACCUGACCUAGGAAUCUAACCUCAUGUAUGAGAAAAUGAAAGGACCCUUGGCCUAUAAAGUGGUCUACCUCAACAUUCUCAGCUAAACCCCUGGUCUUAAUAUGACCUUAUAACGUAGUACUAGUACCUAGGCCACUUGCCUUAGUGACCAAUUCUUGACUACCUUCCUUUUCCUCACUUAUUCACAUAACAAAUAUUUUUGAGUUCCUAACUACUUACAUGCUAGGCACUGUGCCGCACACAGGGAGUGCUAUAAAGCUGAGAAAGUCAUAGCAUCUGCCCUCAAAGAGCUCACAGUUUAAUGGACAGAAAGACAGGUUACAGUUCCAUAGCAUGCUCAGUAAAGCAACUCUGGAGUGGCCUCUCACCCACCCCUGAUCCAGGUCCCUUUUCCAAAGCCCAGCUGGUUUUCUCUCUCAAAUCUUAUUCUGAGAAAUUAAUCCUGCUCAUGAGCCCCAGCCUAUGAAAACUAGGAAGACCUGCUGGAAAGGAUGGCUCACUACUUGAAGGUGUGGAGGCCCAAGCAGGAAAGAAUGCCCUCUUGGAGGACAGCUACCCAUUCAUCAGAAAGAGCCACUGAGAGACGCCUGGGUGGCUCAGUGGUUGAGUGUCUGCCUUUGGCUCAGGGCGUGGUCCCGGAGUCCUGGGAUCGAGUCCUGCAUUCCCUCUGCGUAUG